GAUGAAGAACGCAGCGAAAUGCGAUACGUAAUGUGAAUUGCAGAAUUCAGUGAAUCAUCGAGUCUUUGAACGCACAUUGCGCCCCUUGGUAUUCCGAGGGGCAUGCCUGUUCGAGCGUCAUUUCAACCCUCAAGCUCUGCUUGGUCUUGGGCCUGGCCGUGAUGGCCGGUCUUAAAAUCAGUGGCGGUGCCGUCGCAGGCUCCAAGCGUAGUACAUCUCUCGCUCUGGAAACUUGGCGGUGCCUGCCAGACAACCCCUAAUUGUCUCUUUCGGUUGACCUCGGAUCAGGUAGGGAUACCCGCUGAACUUAAGCAUAUCAAUAAGCGGAGGA
rnacentral:misc_RNA from 1 species